GGGGGGAGGCCGGAUCCUGGGCUGUGUCCCCCGUGCCCUGGGCUCUGGGUCCUGCGCUGCUGGAAUCGCACUCCCAAGGCCGCGCAGCUCCCU
rnacentral:pre_miRNA from 1 species